GCAGUGAUGGCCGAGUGGUUAAGGGGUCUGACUAGAAAUCAGAUGGAUCUUCCCGCGUAGGUUCGAAUCCUACUCACUGCG
rnacentral:tRNA from 1 species